rnacentral:lncRNA from 10 species
CAACCAGGAGUCUUUAGGUCACACUUGGCUAGAAGGAUACAGCAGCUCCUGAUGUAUAUCCUGUCUGGAUCAUGGAUGAGAUGCAGUGUUUGGAUAUAGGAGAGAGGUCUCUAAACUGUCCAAUUAGGAAGCUCUCCACAGGAAGCAGGUUUAUGGGUGUCAUAUGCACACUGGUGGUGCUAUUGGUUUUUCAGCUCAGAUUCUUCUGUCAGUUACUGUUGAUGCCUGGGAAAGGAAGAACUUCUUAUUUUGCUUUAUUAAUGUGCUUGGUGAAUGUCUCGUGCAACUUUGUGCAUUUGGGACAGAGAUACCUGACUUCAUAGCAUUGGGUCUCCAGCCGGGAUCUGACUCCCCAUACAGACCUAAGCUCAUCAGUCAGACCCUGAAUCAGAAGUACAGGGGAAGUUUCUAGAAGAGUGGAGUUGCUGGAUCGAGUUCCCCAAAUCCUUUAACAGAAUUGCAUGGAAAUACCAGGCCCCAGCUGGACAUGACUGACAUUUAUCUACUCACAUCCACCACCAAACUUCCACUGGAGCACAUGGAAUGGCGUGAGAAACACCUAGACAGUGCAUUUCACACCAGGAAGAGAAGCUCUGGGGACUGGAUGGCAUGUGUUUCUGCAAGGAGUCGGGAGCCUUGGUGGGAGACACUAUGGUGAGAAACGGAGAGUGCACACACUUACUGAAAACGUACUGAGAACUCACACCAAGCGUUUUCAAACCCUUCCUCUUUCUCUCAGCCCUUUUUUUAGUUAUCCCAGCUCAGCUGUUAAUUACCAUCAGUGAGUGUAGAAGAGGAAGGAAGCAAAUACCACCCUUCUUAAGCAGCUGGGCUAUUUUAGGGCAGACGUGAUGGAUCCUCAAUUAGAAAUUUGUACUAAACAUUCAAUUCACCCUCACACCAGUAUCAUACAUCACAAAUUGCAUUUCUCCAGUUUGGUUGUCAAGGAGCCAAAACGUGUGCUGGAUGCUCUAUAACUACUUAGCUAAGGUGGUGUCCCUCCUUUCUGUGUGUUGUUUUCUACUUACUGCAACCCCUCUUGUUAUUUUGUCAUUUUCCUGACCACUUAGCUUCCUCUGAAAUUAAAUUUUAUUCAUUAAGGAAACACCUUGUUUUCAUGGUUCUUAAUUUCUCGCUAACUAGGCUGUGUACAACCAAGAUAUUAAAACCCAUGCCAAAGUUUAUAAAUCUUCCAGAAAUCUUACACUAAUGAUCUGUCUCAUCCUUGGUGCCUUCCUGGUAUAUUUUUACAUUAUCUUGAAGUCCUAUUAAUAAUUCACACAUUCCAUUAUGCAGAAGGGGUGUACUGCCAGAUAAUAGAGUCCUCCAUUCACUCAUUUAUUCACUCAUUUGUUCAGGAAAUAUUUAUCAGGUCAGGGGCGGUGGCUCACACCUGUAAUCACUUUGGAAAGGAAAGGUGGCAGGAUCAUUUGAGCUCAGGAGUUCCAGACCAGCCUGGACAACAUAGUAAGACCCAGUUUCCAUAUUUAAAAAAAGAAAGA